GAUGAAGAACGCAGCGAAAUGCGAUAAGUAGUGUGAAUUGCAGAAUUCAGUGAAUCAUCGAAUCUUUGAACGCACAUUGCGCCCCUUGGUAUUCCAUGGGGCAUGCCUGUUCGAGCGUCAUUUGUACCCUCCAGCCCUACUGGGUAUUGGGCGUUUUGUUCCGCUACGCGCGUGAACUCGCCUCAAAUGCAUUGGCAGCCCGCCGUCCCGUGUGGGAGCGCAGCACAUUUUGCGCUCUCCGCUGCUGACGGUGGCAUCCACAAGUCUACCAUUUUACGCUUGACCUCGGAUCAGGUAGGGAUACCCGCUGAACUUAAGCAUAUCAAUAAGCGGAGGA
rnacentral:misc_RNA from 1 species